CCAAGGGUACCUACAACAUUGGUGAAAAGAGUCGCGUGCUGCUGAUUAGCUGGCCCUAUUUUUGACAAUCCCAUGUCAGAUACUUUGGCGUUCCAGUAUUCAUCUAAGAGGAUGUUGGAGCUCUUUAUAUCACGGAAAUCAUUCUUGUUGAAGGACUCUUUGUUGAGUGCCCUUGUGAUCAUGUAGGUAACUUAGACCCCUUGCGGCAUCAAGGCAUGUCUUGAUACGUCGAAUCCAUGUGAAAGUAGCGGAAGAUAAAUGGCGGUCGAGGCUUCCAUUGGAUGCGUGCUCGUAAACAAGGAUCAUCUCAUUACCUUGGUCACAAAAACCCAGUAGAGAGAUUAGAUUUUCAUGUGUGUAACGAGAUAGCAUCAUUACCUCCUUCCAGAAUUCAGGUUCUCCUUGCCCAAAUUUACGGUCUAGACGCUUAAAAGCAACCAUGCUUCUCCCCUUAUGGUGACACAGUUCUCCUUCAUACACUUUCCCAAAACCACCAACUCCGAUUAGUUUUCUGUCAUUAAAGUUGUCCGUGGCUGAUUUGAUAUCUUCAAGUUGGAUUCUAAGAUGUUGAAAUUCCCCAAAGAUAGUCUCCAUUGUUGUUGCUGGGAUAAUAUAGUGAGAAAAACUGAAUCAAAUAUUCAAAGCAAUUGCAAUACUUGAAU
rnacentral:lncRNA from 1 species